rnacentral:rRNA from 1 species
CUACGUGCCAGCAGCCGCGGUAAUACGGAGGAUGCGAGCGUUAUCCGGAAUCAUUGGGUUUAAAGGGUCUGUAGGCGGGCUGGUAAGUCAGAGGUGAAAGCGCUCAGCUCAACUGAGCAACUGCCUUUGAAACUGUUGGUCUUGAAUGGUUGUGAAGUAGUUGGAAUGUGUAGUGUAGCGGUGAAAUGCUUAGAUAUUACACAGAACACCGAUAGCGAAGGCAUAUUACUAACAAUUAAUUGACGCUGAUGGACGAAAGCGUGGGGAGCGAACAGGAUUAGAUACCCUGGUAGUCCACGCUGUAAACGUUGGGCACUAGGUGUGGGGGCCACCCGUGGUUUCUGCGCCGUAGCUAACGCUUUAAGUGCCCCGCCUGGGGAGUACGGCCGCAAGGCUAAAACUCAAAGAAAUUGACGGGGGCCCGCACAAGCGGCGGAGCAUGCGGAUUAAUUCGAUGCAACGCGAAGAACCUUACCAAGGCU